GUGCAUGUUUGGUGGCAUAUGUACUGAAACUGGAACAAUACAGAAAUUAAUGUGACUCCUGUACAAGGAUGACAUGCAGAUUCAUAAAAUGUUCCACGUUUCU